ACGGUAACAGGGAGCUUGCUCCGCUGACGAGUGGCGAACGGGUGAGUAAUGCAUCGGAACGUACCGUGUAGUGGGGGAUAACGUAGCGAAAGUUACGCUAAUACCGCAUACGCCCUGAGGGGGAAAGUGGGGGACCGCAAGGCCUCACGCUAUAUGAGCGGCCGAUGUCGGAUUAGCUAGUUGGUAGGGUAAAGGCCUACCAAGGCGACGAUCCGUAGCGGGUCUGAGAGGAUGAUCCGCCACACUGGGACUGAGACACGGCCCAGACUCCUACGGGAGGCAGCAGUGGGGAAUUUUGGACAAUGGGCGCAAGCCUGAUCCAGCCAUGCCGCGUGAGUGAAGAAGGCCUUCGGGUUGUAAAGCUCUUUCAGACGGAAAGAAAUCUCUCGGGAUAACACCCUGGGAGGAUGACGGUACCGUAAGAAGAAGCACCGGCUAACUACGUGCCAGCAGCCGCGGUAAUACGUAGGGUGCGAGCGUUAAUCGGAAUUACUGGGCGUAAAGCGUGCGCAGGCGGUGAUGUAAGACAGAUGUGAAAUCCCCGGGCUCAACCUGGGAACUGCGUUUGUGACUGCAUCACUCGAGUACGGCAGAGGGAGGUGGAAUUCCGCGUGUAGCAGUGAAAUGCGUAGAUAUGCGGAGGAACACCGAUGGCGAAGGCAGCCUCCUGGGCCAGUACUGACGCUCAUGCACGA
rnacentral:rRNA from 1 species